UACAGAGGGAGCUAGCGUUGUUCGGAAUUACUGGGCGUAAAGCGCACGUAGGCGGCUUUGUAAGUUAGAGGUGAAAGCCCGGGGCUCAACCCCGGAAUUGCCUUUAAGACUGCAUCGCUUGAAUCCGGGAGAGGUGAGUGGAAUUCCGAGUGUAGAGGUGAAAUCCGUAGAUAUUCGGAAGAACACCAGUGGCGAAGGCGGCUCACUGGACCGGUAUUGACGCUGAGGUGCGAAAGCGUGGGGAGCAAACAGG
rnacentral:rRNA from 1 species